UACGUAGGGGGCUAGCGUUGUCCGGAAUCAUUGGGCGUAAAGCGCGCGUAGGCGGCCCGGUAAGUCCGCUGUAAAAGUCAAAGGCUCAACCUUUGAAUGUCAGUGGAUACUGCCGGGCUAGAGUCCGGAAGAGGCGAGUGGAACUCCCGGUGUAGCGGUGGAAUGCGUAGAUAUCUGGAGGAACACCGGUGGCGAAGGCGGCAUCCUGGACCGGUAUUGACGCUGAGGCGCGAAAGCCAGGGGAGCAAACGGG
rnacentral:rRNA from 1 species